CAGUUAACUAGUAACAUAUUUCAUCGUGGGAUCCUGAAAACAUUUGUGGUUUUAUUCUUUUAUAGGAAAUCCACUGAUGCCAAACAAAAAGAUACCUCGAGAAAGCCUAAAACGGAUCCCCGUAAGCAUCUGUUCAGUGACACGGAUACUGAUAGAGGGGUUGAUGACAGCAAAACCGACAUUAGCUGGUUACGAAACACCGGGAGCAAAACCAAACCGAAAAUCAUAGGUUACGGCAAGCAAAAGCAGAGAAAAAAGGCAGAGGAAGCUGCGCAACAUAAAUUAGUGGACGCAUCGAAAAGUAUUCCAAAGGAGAGAAAAAAUAAAGCGUGCAAGGAACCACGUGACAGAAAUGUAAAUAGAAAGAACAAGAGGUAUGAAGCCGAAAAGGGGGAAAAAACCCGUCCACAGAGGGAAGCUGUCACUAAGAAAAACUACAAGGAGCUUUCAGAUUCUGGACCCGAAUCGGAGGAGGAUGGAUGCAAAGCAGCCGCUAAAUCUGAUCCUGUGGAAAAACAGAAGAAACCUGAAAAUGUCGGAAAACUCCACAAAAGGCCCCAGAAAACUGAGACCAAGACAGCGAAGCAGAAAAAGACAACAACCGCCAGUCCGAAGCCAGAAUCCCUUCCUACA